GUUAGAAGAAAUUUGGUUUUGGAAAAAAAGAAUUCAAGCUCAAAGAUGAAAGAUUCACUCUCGUUGCUAUUAUAAUAAAUUACGAAGUGAGAUUCUAGAAAAUGAGAGAUGUUUGGUAGAAAGUUAUCAAGUUUCAUGCGUGGCUUUUCAAUAUACGACGAUGACGUGAAUUCACAAUGACGGCGCAUGCUUGAUAUCGACUUGUAGCGCAGCAACAGCUUCGUAAAACGCAGUCAUAGCCGCAGCAGCAACAGCAACGUAGAAUUUUACGUUGAAUGGAAAAGGAUAUGGAAACAGUUUUAAUAUUCGUUGAAACUUUACAGAUGUUUGGAUAAUCUAUCUUUCGGGUGGAUCUCUUAAAUCAUCUGUUCGAAUCUUGAGAGGAGAAUAUAACGCUAAGCUCGAUAUAUGUAUAAUUUCAUUGAAAUCCGUUUAGCCGUUUAAAUGCAAUCGUGUUAACAAACAUAAACGGAUAACGAGUGAACACGUUCUUCGCAGAUUGUGUGUAGUAAAUACGGCAAGCAAAGGGAAUGGGGUUUCACAUGGAGAUUCUCGUGGCGAUACUAGGUUGAAAGGGUUUAACACUCGAGCGAGCUUAUUAGCCAGUCGGAGCGUUAGUUUGAAAUUUAAAGAAUAUGUGUUUGAAAAUAUUGCGAGUAGUAAUUAGGUAAUUAUUGGUCGUACCGUGGAAAAUGCAAUGGAACCGAACGUGAGCAGUUAUUAAAAUAACUUGACGCUACAUUAUGUGAAUUGAUAUACUAUAAAAUAGAGAUAUUAAUAGAAAAACUGAGACAUGGAUCGAUAAUAAAACCUCGGGCAAAAUAUUUUCAACUUUCCACCUACUUAGGUGAUUGGAACAAUGCAAGCUUGCUAGCGUAAAUAAACAUAGACUAAACUCAUCUAGUCUAUAACGCAAAACCAUUACCAGAAAAUAAUGUAACAUGUCAACGACUAUACACGCGUUUAAUCGUCCCGAAAGUUUGACAAAGAUAAAGUAAAGUAUAAACUUGUACUAAUAAUACAAAUAACGGAUGAGAAAUUGAGUAAGAAUAAAAUAAUAAAAGUGGUAGGUACGGGACGAGAGAUAGAAGGGUUCGAUUAAUGAAAUUGAGUGAAAGUUGAUUGGUAUUAUCGCGUACGUUGGUGAUUUUUCGCAGUACACCUAUAUCGAUUCGGAGGUGAAACAUCGUUUCCCGUAGAAGCUGGAGAUAAUCGGCAAGGAGAAAAUGUCCCGGACGAUGGCCAGGAAAGGGGGUUGGAACGUCGAGGAGGGUGAAUUCGUUGAACAAGUAAACGCGACGAUGUCGACGUAGUCAAAUUUCCGGUCAUCGAAUCGUGUCAGCUCAGGUAAAUAGCAGGAUGCUAAUUUUUGUUUGUUUUUGGUCGUGUUAUGUAGAACUGCAGAAUGAAUAAAUAGCAUAAAUAUACGUAGUAAAAAGGUUGGUCGGUUCGUUCGAAAUAACAACAGACGCGGCGUUAAUUUUACCUGUAAUCCGAACCCUGCUGGCAGUCUGGCUCUGGUUAUAAACAAAAUCGAGGGUCGCCCGAGGGUGAGGAAAACAGAAGUGGAGGGGGAAGGGACACUGCGAGGUGGUGCGAGGCUGCGGCGAGGUGUCCGUGCGGUGAUACUCGUCAGUAGCACGGCGGUCACAGAUCCUUUCGGAACAAAAAGUUUGCUAAUCAUCGUGGCAUCUUCCUUUGGUCGGUGUUUCUUCGUCAACGCGACACGAGUCGGAUGGCUCGAAUUCGAAUCGCCUGUUUCGUCGGCGAAUUAAAAUCCACCUGGUAGAUGAGAUAAACGGGGAAGAAACGGGAGAAACGACAAGUCCAAGUGCUUCCGUGGAAUUAUCAAAAAUCAUAGCUUGGCUAAAAAAACUCCACGGACCAUUACGGAUGAAAGUCGACCGUCGAUCUUGAUCUUGAGACUCUUGACUGGUAACUCGCGAGUGAGACUAGGGAACAUUUUUUUUCGGCUAGGAUCGAUCGAUCGUUGAGCGGGCUAACUGGAUUGCGCGUCCUGCUGUCCGAUCGAAAAAACAGACGCGAUGUCAACGUUACAAUGCAACGGUCGUUGACACAGUUUGCGAAUUGAGAAUCUUGAGCGGAGGUUUCUGGUACCGCUGCCGCUGCUGCUGCUGCUGCUGCUGCUGCUCCAGUUGAUCCAGUUGAUCC